UUAAGCGACUAAGCGUACACGGUGGAUGCCCUGGCAGUCAGAGGCGAUGAAGGACGUGCUAAUCUGCGAAAAGCGUCGGUAAGGUGAUAUGAACCGUUAUAGCCGGCGAUGUCCGAAUGGGGAAACCCAGUGUGAUUCGUCACACUAUCGUUAACUGAAUACAUAGGUUAACGAGGCGAACCGGGGGAACUGAAACAUCUAAGUACCCCGAGGAAAAGAAAUCAACCGAGAUUCCCCCAGUAGCGGCGAGCGAACGGGGAGCAGCCCAGAGUCUGAAUCAGCUUGUGUGUUAGUGGAACGGUCUGGAAAGUCCGACGGUACAGGGUGAUAGUCCCGUACACCAAAAUGCACAGGCUGUGAACUCGAAGAGUAGGGCGGGACACGUGGUAUCCUGUCUGAAUAUGGGGGGACCAUCCUCCAAGGCUAAAUACUCCUGACUGACCGAUAGUGAACCAGUACCGUGAGGGAAAGGCGAAAAGAACCCCGGCGAGGGGAGUGAAAAAGAACCUGAAACCGUGUACGUACAAGCAGUGGGAGCACCUUCGGGUGUGACUGCGUACCUUUUGUAUAAUGGGUCAGCGACUUAUAUUCUGUAGCAAGGUUAACCGUAUAGGGGAGCCGCAGGGAAACCGAGUCUUAACUGGGCGUUAAGUUGCAGGGUAUAGACCCGAAACCCGGUGAUCUAGCCAUGGGCAGGUUGAAGGUUGGGUAACACUAACUGGAGGACCGAACCGACUAAUGUUGAAAAAUUAGCGGAUGACUUGUGGCUGGGGGUGAAAGGCCAAUCAAACCGGGAGAUAGCUGGUUCUCCCCGAAAGCUAUUUAGGUAGCGCCUCGUGAACUCAUCUUCGGGGGUAGAGCACUGUUUCGGCUAGGGGGUCAUCCCGACUUACCAACCCGAUGCAAACUACGAAUACCGAAGAAUGUUAUCACGGGAGACACACGGCGGGUGCUAACGUCCGUCGUGAAGAGGGAAACAACCCAGACCGCCAGCUAAGGUCCCAAAGUCAUGGUUAAGUGGGAAACGAUGUGGGAAGGCACAGACAGCCAGGAUGUUGGCUUAGAAGCAGCCAUCAUUUAAAGAAAGCGUAAUAGCUCACUGGUCGAGUCGGCCUGCGCGGAAGAUGUAACGGGGCUAAACCAUGCACCGAAGCUGCGGCAGCGACACUAUGUGUUGUUGGGUAGGGGAGCGUUCUGUAAGCCUGCGAAGGUGACCUGUGAGGGUUGCUGGAGGUAUCAGAAGUGCGAAUGCUGACAUAAGUAACGAUAAAGCGGGUGAAAAGCCCGCUCGCCGGAAGACCAAGGGUUCCUGUCCAACGUUAAUCGGGGCAGGGUGAGUCGACCCCUAAGGCGAGGCCGAAAGGCGUAGUCGAUGGGAAACAGGUUAAUAUUCCUGUACUUGGUGUUACUGCGAAGGGGGGACGGAGAAGGCUAUGUUAGCCGGGCGACGGUUGUCCCGGUUUAAGCAUGUAGGCUGGUUAUCCAGGCAAAUCCGGAUAAUCAAGGCUGAGGUGUGAUGACGAGGCACUACGGUGCUGAAGUAACAAAUGCCCUGCUUCCAGGAAAAGCCUCUAAGCAUCAGGUAACAUCAAAUCGUACCCCAAACCGACACAGGUGGUCAGGUAGAGAAUACCAAGGCGCUUGAGAGAACUCGGGUGAAGGAACUAGGCAAAAUGGUGCCGUAACUUCGGGAGAAGGCACGCUGGUGUGUAGGUGAAGUCCCUGCGGAUGGAGCUGAGACCAGUCGAAGAUACCAGCUGGCUGCAACUGUUUAUUAAAAACACAGCACUGUGCAAACACGAAAGUGGACGUAUACGGUGUGACGCCUGCCCGGUGCCGGAAGGUUAAUUGAUGGGGUUAUCCGUAAGGAGAAGCUCUUGAUCGAAGCCCCGGUAAACGGCGGCCGUAACUAUAACGGUCCUAAGGUAGCGAAAUUCCUUGUCGGGUAAGUUCCGACCUGCACGAAUGGCGUAAUGAUGGCCAGGCUGUCUCCACCCGAGACUCAGUGAAAUUGAACUCGCUGUGAAGAUGCAGUGUACCCGCGGCAAGACGGAAAGACCCCGUGAACCUUUACUAUAGCUUGACACUGAACAUUGAGCCUUGAUGUGUAGGAUAGGUGGGAGGCUUUGAAGCGUGGACGCCAGUCUGCGUGGAGCCAACCUUGAAAUACCACCCUUUAAUGUUUGAUGUUCUAACGUUGGCCCCUUACCGGGGUUGCGGACAGUGUCUGGUGGGUAGUUUGACUGGGGCGGUCUCCUCCCAAAGCGUAACGGAGGAGCACGAAGGUUAGCUAAUCCUGGUCGGACAUCAGGAGGUUAGUGCAAUGGCAUAAGCUAGCUUGACUGCGAGCGUGACGGCGCGAGCAGGUGCGAAAGCAGGUCAUAGUGAUCCGGUGGUUCUGAAUGGAAGGGCCAUCGCUCAACGGAUAAAAGGUACUCCGGGGAUAACAGGCUGAUACCGCCCAAGAGUUCAUAUCGACGGCGGUGUUUGGCACCUCGAUGUCGGCUCAUCACAUCCUGGGGCUGAAGUAGGUCCCAAGGGUAUGGCUGUUCGCCAUUUAAAGUGGUACGCGAGCUGGGUUUAGAACGUCGUGAGACAGUUCGGUCCCUAUCUGCCGUGGGCGCUGGAGAAUUGAGGGGGGCUGCUCCUAGUACGAGAGGACCGGAGUGGACGCAUCACUGGUGUUCGGGUUGUCAUGCCAAUGGCACUGCCCGGUAGCUAAAUGCGGAAGAGAUAAGUGCUGAAAGCAUCUAAGCACGAAACUUGCCCCGAGAUGAGUUCUCCCUGAGACUUUAAGUCUCCUGAAGGAACGUUGAAGACGACGACGUUGAUAGGCCGGGUGUGUAAGCGCAGCGAUGCGUUGAGCUAACCGGUACUAAUGAACCGUGAGGCUUAACCU
rnacentral:rRNA from 1 species